AGAGUUGAUCCGGCUCAGGAUGAACGCUAGCGACAGGCUUAACACAUGCAAGUCGAGGGGCAGCACGGGAGUAGCAAUACUUGGUGGCGACCGGCGCACGGGUGAGUAACGCGUAUGCAACCUACCUAUCAGAGGGGAAUAACCCGGCGAAAGUCGGACUAAUACCGCAUAAAACAGGGGCACCGCAUGGUGAUAUUUGUUAAAGAAAUUCGCUGAUAGAUGGGCAUGCGUUCCAUUAGGUAGUUGGUGAGGUAACGGCUCACCAAGCCGACGAUGGAUAGGGGAACUGAGAGGUUGGUCCCCCACACUGGUACUGAGACACGGACCAGACUCCUACGGGAGGCAGCAGUGAGGAAUAUUGGUCAAUGGGCGGGAGCCUGAACCAGCCAAGUCGCGUGAAGGAAAAGAAGGAUCUAUGGUUCGUAAACUUCUUUUGCAGGGGAAUAAAGUGCAGGACGUGUCCUGUUUUGUAUGUACCCUGAGAAUAAGGAUCGGCUAACUCCGUGCCAGCAGCUGC
rnacentral:rRNA from 1 species